rnacentral:rRNA from 1 species
GACGAACGCUGGCGGCGUGCCUAAUACAUGCAAGUUGAGCGCUGAAGGUUGGUACUUGUACCAACUGGAUGAGCAGCGAACGGGUGAGUAACGCGUGGGGAAUCUGCCUUUGAGCGGGGGACAACAUUUGGAAACGAAUGCUAAUACCGCAUAAAAACUUUAAACACAAGGUUUAAGUUUGAAAGAUGCAAUUGCAUCACUCAAAGAUGAUCCCGCGUUGUAUUAGCUAGUUGGUGAGGUAAAGGCUCACCAAGGGGAUGAUACAUAGCCGACCUGAGAGGGGGGUCGGCCACAUUGGGACUGAGACACGGCACAAACUCCUACGGGAGGCAGCAGUAGGGAAUCUUCGGAGAUGGACGAAAGUCUGACCGAGCAACGCCGCGUGAGUGAAGAAGGGUUUCGGAUCGUAAAAAUCUGUUGGUAGAGAAGAACGUUGGUGAGAGUGGAAAGCUCAUCAAGUGACGGUAACUACACAGAAAGGGACGGCUAACUACGUG